UGCCGCGUGUGUGAAGAAGGCCUUAUGGUUGUAAAGCACUUUAAGCGAGGAGGAGGCGCUCUAGGCUAAUACCCUAGAAGCGUGGACGUUACUCGCAGAAUAAGCACCGGCUAACUCUGUGCCAGCAGCCGCGGUAAUACAGAGGGUGCGAGCGUUAAUCGGAUUUACUGGGCGUAAAGCGUGCGUAGGCGGUCAUUUAAGUCAAAUGUGAAAUCCCCGAGCUUAACUUGGGAAUUGCAUUCGAUACUGGAUGGCUAGAGUAUGGGAGAGGAUGGUAGAAUUCCAGGUGUAGCGGUGAAAUGCGUAGAGAUCUGGAGGAAUACCGAUGGCGAAGGCAGCCAUCUGGCCUAAUACUGACGCUGAGGUACGAAAGCAUGGGGAGCAAACAGGAUUAGAUACCCUGGUAGUCCAUGCCGUAAACGAUGUCUACUAGCCGUUGGGGCCUUUGAGGCUUUAGUGGCGCAGCUAACGCGAUAAGUAGACCGCCUGGGGAGUACGGUCGCAAGACUAAAACUCAAAUGAAUUGACGGGGGCCCGCACAAGCGGUGGAGCAUGUGGUUUAAUUCGAUGCAACGCGAAGAACCUUACCUGGUCUUGACAUAGUAAGAACUUUCCAGAGAUGGAUUGGUGCCUUCGGGAACUUACAUACAGGUGCUGCAUGGCUGUCGUCAGCUCGUGUCG
rnacentral:rRNA from 1 species